CUUUCCCCUCUUAGAUUUUUGUCAAUCCUUUCAUAACACAAAAACAGGAUAAAUUUGUUUGAGGGUUUUUGUUGUUUUUUUUUUUUAAUUUUAUUUUGUCUAAACAGUGGAUAUAUACCAACAAAAGAAGAUUGCAUGGUAUUUACUUAACCUCAACAUCUUUAUCAUCUUUUUCUUCCUUCACCACUAUGAAAAAACUCAGUCAUUCCUUUUGCAGAGUAUGCAUCUGUUGGUAGGCACUUGGUGAAGAAGAUUACAUUUUAAGUCUUUACAUUUCAUGAGUGCAAUACUGCAUGCUUAAAAACCAUAUCUUUGAUAUUUAAUGGUGUCAUUUAACACCUGAAUGGGCCACAGCCAGGAAUAAAAUUUACUUCUGUUUGACUAACAGGUUUGAUUUUGCCAGGAGUGUGACCAGAUAAAUAGAAGGUGAUUAAAAUUAAUGAAGCUGUGAAAACCUUGAAAGCCUCAGCUAAACAGAGAAUUUUUAAGCCUGGUGAGUUCUCAAGUCUUAAGAGGGCUGAAUGAAAUUCUUACCAAUUUCUUCACACUAGUACAUGCAAAGACAAAACAGCUGAGUUCCAUUGCCAUGCACUUUUCCUGUAUUGAAGACAACAAUCUUUUUCCCCCUCAGGUUUCACACUAAAAUGAAACAAUCAACUCCCUAGAAUGAAAUGCUGUCAGCUUUCAAGCUGGAGUUUCAUCUUGGAUAUGAGACUGUUCUACGACCCAUGCAGCCCCACUGUGCAAAUGGGCUGAAAUCGUGUUGUCUCCUCUGGGGUUUUCUGUAGGAAAUUCAUACCACUUCCUCAUAGUUUAAAAGCUGGAGAUGAUGAAAUGGGAUUGUCUGACCUCCUGGAAGUCUCACUACUGGCUGUCCAUUAACAUACACCUUUUGCAGCAGGCUACUUUCUCAGACAUUCAUAUUAUCGGGGCAGAGAAGGUCGUUUCCUUCUGCACUCAGAUUCCAAAUGAGCUGAAAAAUCAUGGGAGUUCUGGAUCUUCAACAGAUGGAGGAGUUGCUUCAAACC
rnacentral:lncRNA from 1 species